UUUUAUUAGAAAUUAUUAAUAAUAAUAUCUGCUCAAUGAAAUUAUUCAAUAGCCGCAAUCGUGCUAAGGUAGCAUAAUCAUUUGUUUUUAAUUUAAGACUAGAACAAAGGAUUUAACAUUUAAAUAAAUUUCUUUUAUUUAUAAAUUUAAAUUAUUUUUAAUGUAAAAAAACAUUAAUUAAUAAAAUAGACGAUAAGACCCUAUUGAACUUCACUUUAGUUAAACUGGGGCAGUUAAUUAAUUAAUAUUUUAAAUUAACUUAAUUUAAAAUUGACCUAAUAGAAUUAAUUUUUUGAUUAAGUUACCAUAGGGAUAACAGUGUAAUAUUAUUUAUAAGAUCUUAUUUAAAAUAAUGAUUGCAACCUCGAUGUUGACUUAAUAUCCUCUAUAACGCAAUAGUUAUUUAAAGGAAGUCUGUUCGACUUUUAAACAAUUACAUGA
rnacentral:rRNA from 1 species